rnacentral:rRNA from 1 species
UACGUAGGUGACCAGCGUUGUCCGGAUUUACUGGGCGUAAAGAGCGCGCAGGCGGUCGUUCAAGUCGAGUGUGAAAGCCCCCGGCUCAACUGGGGAGGGUCACUUGAUACUGAUCGACUCGAAGGCAGGAGAGGGAAGCGGAAUUCCCGGUGUAGUGGUGAAAUGCGUAGAUGUCGGGAGGAACACCAGUGGCGAAGGCGGCUUCCUGGCCUGUUCUUGACGCUGAGGCGCGAAAGCUAGGGGAGCAAACGGG